rnacentral:rRNA from 1 species
AUACGGAGGAUCCGAGCGUUAUCCGGAUUUAUUGGGUUUAAAGGGUGCGCAGGCGGCCAUUUAAGUCAGCGGUUAAAUCGUGGGGCUCAACCCCAUUCUGCCGUUGAUACUGGGUGGCUUGAUUGCGGUCGAGGUUGGCGGUAUUCGUUGUGUAGCGGUGAAAUGCAUAGAUAUGACGAAGAACACCGAUUGCGUAGGCAGCUGACCAGACCGCAAAUGACGCUCAUGCACGAAAGUGCGGGGAUCGAACAGGAUUAGAUACCCUGGUAGUCCGCACAGUAAACGAUGAAUACUUGUUUUCGGCGAUAUAAUGUCGGAGGCAAAGCGAAAGCGAUAAGUAUUCCGCCUGGGGAGUACGCCGGCAACGGUGAAACUCAAAUGAAUUGGCGGGG